AGAUCGGGCAUUGACUCUUGUCACGGGGUGACGAAAGGGAAGCGGAACUAAGUCCCGCCGGAAUUUUGUGUUCCCCUCGGGACGGUGUCGCGGUAACACCGGUCCACUUCCGGGUUGCGCCCGAUGUCGCAAUAACAACGCUAAUGACAGAUUGACAUCUGGUGUGGGGAGUUUGAUGUGGCGAUCUGUGAGAGGAUUAUGGAGGCGGAGUAACCACAUAAAAAGAGAAGUGCAGAGACCAUGAGGAGGGUUGUGGAUUCUAUUUGGUCGUUCGUUCUCCCGGCUAUUCUUCCUGGUUGGCUUGCCCCCGUGUGUGGUUCUUCUCUUUGGACGUGUUCCCCUAGGAGAGGUGAAUUCCUGGGACGUUUGGGCUGGCGUGUGGAGGUAUUUGAAGACUAUUGUGGGGUUUCGGUUAUCUGGCUGUGUAACAGAUAUAUCAGCGAUCGAGUGGAGAUAUUCAGGACAGAAAGAGUGUGAGCUCUGGAAAGUAAGUGAAGACCAGGCCGCGCCAUCACUAUCGGAGGGAAGUUAAGAGACCUGAUCUGGGACUUCGAUCAAUUGUAUACAUCUGGACUGGGAGUGAUAACGUUGUGAAGUGGACGGAGUCAUCGUUGGAUCGCAGGAUCCUCUGGGCCGAAUGCCGCAUGUGAUGUCCCUAGGAAAAGAGAUCGCAGGAUCCUCUGGGCCGAAUGCCGCAUGUGAUGUCCCUAUGAAAGGAGGUGGACACAAGAAUUAUUCCUUUCCCGGUCACAACCGAAGCCUCUCCCAGCCGUAAGCCCCACUACUUAUUCAAGAACGCAUACUUGCUGUUGAUUACCUACUCUGCUGUGCAGAUCGCAGGAUCCUCUGGGCCGAAUGCUGCAUGUGAUGUCCCUGUAGAAAGAGGUGGACACACGAAUUAUUCCUUUCCCGGUCUUAACCGAAGCCUCUCCCAGCCGUAAGCCCCACUACUUAUUCAAGAACGCAUACUUGCUGUUGAUUACCUACUCUGCUGUGCAGAUCGCAGGAUCCUCUGGGCCGAAUGCUGCAUGUGAUGUCCCUGUAGAAAGAGAUCGCAGGAUCCUCUGGGCCGAAUGCUGUAUGUGAUGCCCCUGUAGAAAGAGGUGGACACACGAAUUAUUCCCUUCCCGGUCUUAACCGAAGCAUCUCCUAGCCGUAAGCCCCAUUACUUAUUCAAGGACACAUACUUACUGUUGAUUACUUACCCCGCUGUGCAGACCACAGGAUUCUCUGGGCCGAAUGCUGCAUGUGAUGUCCCUGUAGAAGGAGGUGGACACGAGAAUUAUUCCUUUUCCCGGUCUCGACCGAAACAUCCACAAGCUCUACUUACCCGGAUACCCCCUCUCACUCCGGGACGGGUGACAGACUACCCUGGCUCUUGCUGGCCCCGUACAGGCACAAACUGCCGACGACUCCACGCCUUCCCGGCGUCCGAGGUCUGGCUCCGUUCUGGUCGGGAGACACGGAAGGAACACUGAACUUUUAAAUUGCUUUUAAUCAAAUAAAACCUUGUUCAUUUUU